rnacentral:rRNA from 1 species
UGCCAGCCGCCGCGGUAAUACGGGGGGUGCAAGCGUUAAUCGGAAUUACUGGGCGUAAAGCGUGCGUAGGCGGAUUAUUAAGUCAGAUGUGAAAGCCCCGGGCUUAACCUGGGAACUGCAUUUGAAACUGGUAAACUAGAGUAUGGUAGAGGAAAGUGGAAUUUCUGGUGUAGCGGUGAAAUGCGUAGAUAUCAGAAGGAACAUCAAUGGCGAAGGCAGCUUUCUGGACCAAUACUGACGCUCAUGCACGAAAGCGUGGGGAGCAAACAGGAUUAGAUA